rnacentral:rRNA from 1 species
UAAGUACGGCGAGUGAAGCGGCAAGAGCUCAAAUUUGAAAUCUGGCCCCCUGCGGGGUCCGAGUUGUAAUUUGCAGAGGGUGCUUUGGCGUUGGCUGUGGUCUAAGUUCCUUGGAACAGGACGUCGCAGAGGGUGAGAAUCCCGUAUGUGGCCGCCAGCCUCCGCCGUGUAAAGCCCCUUCGACGAGUCGAGUUGUUUGGGAAUGCAGCUCUAAAUGGGAGGUAAAUUUCUUCUAAAGCUAAAUACUGGCCAGAGACCGAUAGCGCACAAGUAGAGUGAUCGAAAGAUGAAAAGCACUUUGGAAAGAGAGUCAAAAAGCACGUGAAAUUGUUGAAAGGGAAGCGCUUGCAGCCAGACUUGCCUGUAGUUGCUCAUCCGGGCUCUCGCCCGGUGCACUCUUCUACGGGCAGGCCAGCAUCAGUCCGGGCGGUUGGAUAAAUGCCUGCUAAAUGUACCUCUCCUCGGGGAGGACUUAUAGGGCAGGCGGCAUACGACCAGCCUGGACUGAGGUCCGCGCAUCUGCUAGGAUGCUGGCGUAAUGGCUGUAAGCGGCCCGUC